CUAACCCAUCCCCCUACCCUCCUCCCCUCUAGGAACCUCAGUUUGUUUUUCAGAGUCCGUAGUCUCUCCUGGUUCUUCUCCCCCUCCGAUUAUCUCAUCUCUGCACUCCUACCUCCUGAGUGACCUCUGAAUGCACAAGGGGAACAGGUGUGGGAAAGGGUGAUGACAAAAAUGGAACAAGAAGCCUCGCUCAUCUUAAGAAAGCAAAGAAAUUUUAUCUCUCUAGAUAUUAUCACCCUACAUUAUGCCACUCAAUCUCAAACAAAAUAAUUCUCUUAUCUCUCCUUUACCCUUUAACCCUUAUCUGGAGCUGGAAGUUGAAAUAUGUGUCUCUUCACAGUCUUACUGAAGAGUCUCAUCUAUUAAACAAGGCAAUAUUUUCUCAUCUAAAGAAUCUACAAAUUAAAGAUUUUUUAUAUGAAAUCUAUUUCUUUGCUUCAAGAGUAGUUCAAGAGCGGCUGUGGGAGAUGAUUAGACCGUGCCCUCAUGAAUGGAAUUAGUGUCCCUAUAAAACAGACCUGGGAGAGCUCCCUUGGCCCUUCCACAUGUUAUAACACAAUAAGAAGACUGCCCAGGAAGCAGGCCCUCACCAGAUACAAAAUCUGCUGACACCUUGAUCUUGGACUUUCUAGCCUCCA